CAGCCGCCGCGGUAAUACGAAGGGUGCAAGCGUUAAUCGGAAUUACUGGGCGUAAAGGGUGCGUAGGCGGUUGUUUAAGUCUGUUGUGAAAUCCCCGGGCUCAACCUGGGAAUGGCAAUGGAAACUGGACGGCUAGAGUGUGUCAGAGGAUGGUGGAAUUCCCGGUGUAGCGGUGAAAUGCGUAGAGAUCGGGAGGAACAUCUGUGGCGAAGGCGACUAUCUGGGCCAACACUGACGCUGAGGCACGAAAACGUGGGGAGCAAACAGGAUUAGAUACCCCAGUAGUCCCUGUCUCUUAUAC
rnacentral:rRNA from 1 species